UUCAGCUGCGUUGGUAUCCGGGUCCACUUGGGCUUUUACUUUGUCAUGCAUGUCGUUUACUUUGACUACUUCUAUAUCAAAAAUUUUUCACAAAAUUGCACUCAUAAUGGUGAAAAGUAGGAGGCCCUUUUGUACAUGAAGGGGCCAUUGGGCGUGGACAUUUGCGGGCACCGUUAGGCAUUGCUCGGAAGAGUGGAAGGCGCUGUACUGCUGGAAUUUAGCAGUCAAUGUUUCUUUCCUCCUAUACCACUCACUGCCUCAAAAUUUUCCUUUUCCAUCAUGCCUAAUCUUGUCAGGACAAAGGGUGGGCA
rnacentral:lncRNA from 1 species